GUUUGAGAGAACGAGAGCUUUAUCGCUGUAUGAGUUUUGGAGGCAGGGAAACUAUAGGGAGAGGAGAGCGGCUACCAGAAGGAAACCUAGAUGUGUGCGAUUAUGUUUUAAAGGGAGGGGCUUGGGACUUUUUUCAUCAUUGCAUUACAGUGAGGAACCAGCAGAAUUACACACUCCCCUCACUGGCCUCUGUGGUUGUCUGAGACAUCGACUGAAGAGUACAACUUAACUUUUCUCCCCGUAUCAAGAUCCGCAGGCCACCGGUGAGCAUUCCACGAGAUCCCUCCUCCACCUCCUCUCAUCCUCUGGUGUAAAGCAUGGAGGACAUGGACUUCGAGAGGCGCCGGGAGCUCAGACGGCAGAAGCGUGAGGAGAUGCGCCUGGAAGCUGAACGCCUGGCGAAGAACGAUGAAGACGAGGAGGAGGCGGCGAGGGAGAGGAGGCGCAGGGCGCGCCAGGACAGGAUGAAGGGCAGGGACGGGGAGGAGCCCUGUGGACAGACUGACGGCGGGACCAACAGCCACAGCGUGACGGAGACGGUGUCUGUGAGCAGCUCCUACAGUGGGGGAGGAGGAGGAGGAGGAGGAGGAGGAGGAGGAGAAGGAGGAGACGAGGAGGAGCAGGCGCUGCUAGAGCGCAUGGCCAAGAGGGAGGAGCGUCGGCAGAAGCGCAUGAUGGAGGCGCUGGAGCGCCAGCGGGAGCUGGACGGCACCGGGUCCGGGACGGACGCCCCCGGCAACGCUGGGGGAGGCGACGCAGCGGGGAAGAACGAUGAAGAGGCGGGGCAGCCCUCCUGGCGUGGGGGUCACCGUGACGACGGGGAGGAAGAGGAGGAGGAGCAGCAGAAGCCGGUGAUGUAUGGCAGCAGCAGCAGAAGGAGGGAGGAAGAGGAGGAGGAGGAGGUGGAGAAGUAUGAGGAAGAGGAGGUGGUGGAGGCGGAGGUGGAGCUUGGAGGAGAAGAGGAGAUGGAGCAGAGACGGGAGGAGGAGGAGGAGGAGGAGGAGGAGGAGAAGCCCAGGAGGUCUAGCAUUAGGGAACAGAAUUCCACUGAGGAACAGGAUCAGUUUAAAUUGUCAGAUCAGGAAAAUAACACAGAGGAAACUCACUCUGCAGUCGGUGGAAAUUUAAACUCAAAUCAGGGGAGAUCUCCUGAUUCGCCGUCUCUGGGCGAAGCAGAGACGUGGGGAGAGGUAGUGGAGGAAGUAGGCAACACAGAUAGUACUUUAGAAAACAGCGUGAGUGAUUGCAACCAAGAGGAUAAUGAGGUUUCAGAGAUACUGCGCGCCACGAGCGCUGCGGCGGCGGUGAAUGAGAGGGGCGGCGCCAGAGAGGAGAGGGGGAGUCAGAACGGCGGCGUUCACGAGGAAGCUCCUCCCAAGCAAUUUAGGAAACCCGAGAGGAUCCCGAGCCGCAGCUCCCUCCGUUCCCCGGAGGCGUCCGCGGUUGCCGCCGACAACCAGGACGAGGACGCCGACGCCCGCCUCGCGGAGCGGAAGCUGGAGGAGUUGAAGCGUCGCCGCGACGACACGGAGAGCAAGGAGUUCGAGCGGCUGCGGCAGAAGCAGCAGGAGGCGGACGCCCAGCUGGAGGGGCUGAAGAGCAAGAGGGAGGAGAGGAGGAAGGUGCUGGAGGAGGAGGAGCGCCAGAGGAAGCAGGAGGAGGGCGACCGGAAGGCCAGGGAGGAGGAGGAGAAGAGGAGGAUGAAGGAGGAGAUCGAGAGAAGAAGAGCAGAGGCCGCCGAGAAGAGACAGAAGGGGGAGGAGGGGCUGGAUGGAGAGGGGAAGGCGUUCAAGUGUGUGAGCCCUAGAGGCUCCUCCCUCAAGAUCGAGGAGAGAACAGAGUUCCUCAACAAGUCGGCACAGAGAAGCUCGGUGAAACUGCCUCACUCUCCUGUCGUCUCCAAGAUUGACAACCGGCUGGAGCAGUACACUUCAGCUGCCCAGAGGGAGAACAGGGAGUCUCGCUCGCCCCGUUCGGGGGCCUCUGACCUGCCCCUGGUCACCGAUGGCGUCCGCAGCAUCAAGAGCAUGUGGGAGAAGGGCAACGCCUUCUCCUCGCCUGGAGGGGGCGCCGGGGCGUUCAAGGAAACAGCUGUGGUGAAGAUAGGUGUGGCGGGACGCAUCAACGACUGGCUCAACAAAACCCCCGAGAGCGGCAAAACGGCGGGAGGAGGGAGGCCGGUGGACCUGAAGCCUGUUGACGUCACCAACAAGAGAAGUCUAUGGGAAAACAAAGGCACCACCCCCACCAAGAACUCCUUUAGCUAGUUUUCAUCGUCGUUAAAUCUGGAAGAAGCCCUGAGAGAUGACAGGCAGAGGGGAGGCAAAAUCAGUCGCAAAUGGUAUGGGACACUAAUAUCUCCAGAGGCUGCUGCAGCAACAGCCAGGGACCAAGACGAUCUAAUCCAAGCCUCUUCCUUUAGACCCAGUCUUAUGUAUCCAGUAAAGACACACCCACAAGACGACACACCCAUCAACCAGGGGGGCGGAGGGGAAAAGGGCGGGAGGCGGGGGGAGGGGGGUAACGCACGGUCCGACCACUGUACCGAAACAGCAUUUUUGUACGGUUGCGUCUGAGUAUAGUGCCUUUGCACGUCGAUUUAUUUUUAUUUUUGCGUAGUGUUACAUUCUUAAGAAAAAAUAAAAUGAAAAGAACCAAAAAUGCUGUGAAAUUUGGACCUUUAUGAUCUUUCUACAUAUGCGUCGCGUAGAAUCCCACGGGGCACAAAGCAAAGAAAAUAUGGUUAAUUUGAAUUUAGCUCUUUCGGCCUUGUCCAAUUCUAGAUGUCCGUGAACACAUACUAUAAGCGAUUACAUGACUCUCUCUCUCUCUCUCACUCAAACAUCGUUUUUUUAUUUUAUUUAUAUUUAAAGCGAAUGCUUCACACUUUGCGACUUUAGUCACCAAGUUCAAGAUAGAAAGAAAAAAAGCACUUCUAGAAUUUAGCGGAUUUCACUUUAAUAAUGUCUUAAUAAAACCAAUAGCUCCGCAAUGUUUCGAGUAAUAUAUGUUAGCACAUGUGUUUGUUUUUUUAUUAUUAACUAUUAUAAUGUACGUUUAUAUAUCAAUAACCUUUUUAUACGCAUAAAAAAAAGGUAUUUCGCUUUUUUUGAUAUUAUGACUAUUCACCAACAGGCAGUUAAGGACUUAAAGCGUUAAUUUUGGCAGUGAAAGGAGCGCUCGAUUAUUAACACCAUUCCAUCUUUAAUCAUACAUAAAGUCGAUUUCUUAUUUAUGCUUUUUUAUAUGUUGUGUCAUUUUUGAAAAUUUCGAAAAACACGAAAAGUCUCAUGAUCACUUUAAAAUCUUCAUAGACAUUCCUACGUAACGAUGUUAACGCAGCUGUGUGGCGCGGUGAAGGGGAAGGGGGGGGCUUUCUGCUUAUUUUUUCUUUGUUUUUUAAAGCUAUUGGGUUUAUGCUGGGUCUUAUUCACCUACAGCGGCCAUCUUGGUUCCAACGGCUAGCUAGGCAGUAGACCUGAAAGCAGACCAAGACUUAAAGGUGACAUAUUAUAGCACCAGGAGUGAGUGUGAUUAGCCGUUUCAAGCCGUUUUGGAAAUCUGGUGGUAUAAAAUGUCACCUUUAACCAAGAUGGCCGAUAAUAAAUAAGACCCAUGCAGGGGAUUAAUAAAAACAACAGGACUGAAUUCAUUCCAGAUAUGUACUAUGAAUCACAGGCAUUCCUACCUUGGGCACGCAGAGAGAUAUCCAAUCUGCCGGUUGCCUGUAGAAUACAAUAAUCGUUAAAUGCAAGGAUGUGCACCACUAUAUAAUUGUGUUAAGUUUGUUGCCUUAUGAUUGCAAUAACAAGUGUUUUUUUGUUGUUUUUGUUAAUGGAUUCAACGGCCUCUGUGCUACAAACACAUGAGUAAACGUAAGGUAUGUCACCUGUCGGCUGUUGGCAGUUAUCCUACCUACGAAAUCGUCGUUGUAUUCCCGAUGCUUAACUUUUGCCGAAAAAUUCUCAAGUGUUGCAUUGCAUUACAUUAAUAUGUACGUGAGGUUGUUUUUUUUCGCACAGCACAUGCUUUGAUAAGGAUAAUGAAAUAUUCUCUGGGGCAUGAAAUUAAUCAUAUGUUCUGCUCCAAACUCUCGACAAUCACAUUCCAAGGCUCCUACCAUGAGCAGGGGAGCCUGACAAAGAAAAAAAAAAAAGUUCUUGUAUGAUUUAUGGUGACGUUUUAUUGCCUCUUUUUUUUAUAUACUGUGGUUCUCAUAUUGCCUCGAUGAUUUAUUUUUUGUUACAUCUUUAGUCCAUCUCUUUUGUGUUAGCCUUCUAAGUCCAUGUUUAACCAGACACCUGUCUUUUUACGAAGCGAAUAACCGCUAUGCAAAGCACACACACAUGCUGUUCUGUUUGCCCCUAGCCAAGCGCUCUCAAUGUCACGGCGGUGGCUAGCUUCCAGCUGGAUUCAUGUUCAUCAAACAUUGUACCAUUGACAAUAAAGACAUUAUCGUUAA